rnacentral:rRNA from 1 species
UACGUAGGGGGCGAGCGUUGUCCGGAAUCACUGGGCGUAAAGGGCGUGUAGGCGGUAAUAUAAGUCAGAUGUGAAAGAUGCCGGCUCAACCGGCAGAUUGCAACUGAUACUGUAUAACUUGAGUGUGAGAGAGGGAAGCGGAAUUCCUAGUGUAGCGGUGAAAUGCGUAGAUAUUAGGAGGAACACCAGUGGCGAAGGCGGCUUUCUGGCUCAUAACUGACGCUGAGGCGCGAAAGCGUGGGGAGCAA